rnacentral:lncRNA from 1 species
GGGGAAAUUACAUUAUAUUAUGUUGAUUUCAUAAUUGACCAAGCCUUACAAUAGGCAUACUACAAGUGUAUAUUGUGAAGAAUAUUUUCUUUUGCAUAAAAAGAGAAGUACUAAUGUAAUUUAAAUAUAUUUUUGAAUUGCAGAAACAACUUUGUCUUUUAAAUAUUAUUGUAUCUAGAAAUUUGGUUGAUAAAAUUCCCUCCAAAAUUUUGCCUAGGCUCUCUAAUAUUACUGGAAUCGCCACUGACUAUACUAUACUAUACUAUACUAUAGUAAUACUUUUGUUUUGUGCAUUCUGUAGUUGAUACACAUCCAAUCUUAUAGCAAUUUCAUUUCCCAUUCAAUUG